GAUGAACGCUGGCGGCGUGCCUAAUACAUGCAAGUCGAGCGAACGGACGAGAAGCUUGCUUCUCUGAUGUUAGCGGCGGACGGGUGAGUAACACGUGGAUAACCUACCUAUAAGACUGGGAUAACUUCGGGAAACCGGAGCUAAUACCGGAUAAUAUUAUGAACCGCAUGGCUCAAAAGUGAAAGACGGUCUUGCUGUCACUUAUAGAUGGAUCCGCGCUGCAUUAGCUAGUUGGUAAGGUAACGGCUUACCAAGGCAACGAUGCAUAGCCGACCUGAGAGGGUGAUCGGCCACACUGGAACUGAGACACGGUCCAGACUCCUACGGGAGGCAGCAGUAGGGAAUCUUCCGCAAUGGGCGAAAGCCUGACGGAGCAACGCCGCGUGAGUGAUGAAGGUCUUCGGAUCGUAAAACUCUGUUAUUAGGGAAGAACAUAUGUGUAAGUAACUGUGCACAUCUUGACGGUACCUAAUCAGAAAGCCACGGCUAACUACGUG
rnacentral:rRNA from 1 species